AGAGUCUUGGGACAUAGUAUAAGGCAGUGGUCUGGCCAGUCCCACUAACUGGCUCUGUCUCUCGGCA
rnacentral:miRNA from 1 species